rnacentral:rRNA from 1 species
UACGAAGGGGGCUAGCGUUGCUCGGAAUCACUGGGCGUAAAGGGCGCGUAGGCGGCGUUUUAAGUCGGGGGUGAAAGCCUGUGGCUCAACCACAGAAUGGCCUUCGAUACUGGGACGCUUGAGUAUGGUAGAGGUUGGUGGAACUGCGAGUGUAGAGGUGAAAUUCGUAGAUAUUCGCAAGAACACCAGUGGCGAAGGCGGCUCACUGGCCCGGUACUGACGCUGAGGUGCGAAAGCGUGGGGAGCAACA